ACAACCAUACAUGUACUCCUCUCCCUAGUUAUCUCCCAAUCAUAGCAUACCAACUUGAUGCUAACAAUGCUUUCUGAAAUGGAUGGUUAGAGGAAACUGUUUAUAUAAAUGACUCAACCUAGAGGUUAAGAGGACAGGAAUUUUCCUAAUCAUGUUUGUCGACUUUGUAAGUCUUUGUAUGAACUCAAACAAGCCCCUUGGGUUUAG
rnacentral:lncRNA from 1 species